UACGAAGGGGGCUAGCGUUGUUCGGAAUUACUGGGCGUAAAGCGUACGUAGGCGGAUCUGUAAGUAGGGGGUGAAAUCCCCAGGCUCAACCUGGGAACUGCCUUCUAGACUGCAAGUCUUGAGAUCAGGAGAGGCGAGUGGAAUUCCGAGUGUAGAAGUGAAAUUCGUAGAUAUUCGGAGGAACACCAGUGGCGAAGGCGACUCGCUGGACUGAUACUGACGCUGAGGCGCGAAAGCUAGGGGAGCAAACAGG
rnacentral:rRNA from 1 species